rnacentral:rRNA from 1 species
GACGAACGCUGGCGGCGUGCUUAACACAUGCCAGUCGAACGGAAAGGCCCUGCUUUUGUUGGGUGCUCGAGUGGCGAACGGGUGAGUAACACGUGAGUAACCUGCCCUUGACUUUGGGAUAACUCCAGGAAACUGGGGCUCAUACCGGAUAGGAGCUCCUUCUGCAUGGUGGGGGUUGGAAAGUUUCGGUGGUUUGGGAUGGACUCGCGGCUUAUCAGCCUGUGGGUGGAGUAGUGGCUUACCAAGGCUUUGACGGCUAGCCGGCCUGAGAGGGUGCCCGGCCACAUUAGGACUGAGACACGGCCCAGACUCCUACGGGAGGCAGCAGUGGGGAAUAUUGCCCACUGGGCGGAAGCCAGAUGCAGCAACGCCGCGUGCGUGAUGACGGCCUUCGGGUUGUAAACCGCUUUCGCCUGUGACGAAGCGUGAGUGACGGUAAUGGGUAAAGAAGCACCGGCUAACUACGUG